rnacentral:rRNA from 1 species
AUUGAACGCUGGCGGCAUGCUUUACACAUGCAAGUCGAACGGCAGCGCGGGCUUCGGCCUGGGGGUGAGUGGCGGACGGGUGAGUAAUACAUCGGAAACUGCCCAGUAGUGGGGGAUAGCUUGGCGAAAGCCGGAUUAAUACCGCAUACGACCUGAGGGGGAAAGCGGGGGAUCUUCGGACCUCGCGCUGUCCGAGCGGCCGAUGGCAGAUUAGCUAGUUGGUGGGGUAAAGGCCUACCAAGGCGACGAUCUGUAGCUGGUCUGAGAGGACGACCAGUCACACUGGGACUGAGACACGGCCCAGACUCCUACGGGAGGCAGCAGUGGGGAAUUUUGGACAAUGGGCGAAAGCCUGAUCCAGCAAUGCCGCGUGUGUGAUGAAGGCCUUCGGGUUGUAAAGCACUUUUGGCGGGAAGGAAAAGUACUGUGCUAAUACCACGGUUCGAUGACGGUACCCGCAGAAUAAGCACCGGCUAACUACGUG